GACGAACCGUGCGAACGUUGUUCGGAUUCAUUGGGCGUAAAGGGUGCGUAGGCGGCGCGGUAAGUCGGGUGUGAAAUCUCGGAGCUUAACUCCGAAACUGCAUUCGAUACUGCCGUGCUUGAGGACUGGAGAGGAGACUGGAAUUUACGGUGUAGCGGUGAAAUGCGUAGAUAUCGUAAGGAAGACCAGUGGCGAAGGCGGGUCUCUGGACAGUUCCUGACGCUGAGGCACGAAGGCCAGGGGAGCAAACGGG
rnacentral:rRNA from 1 species